UACGGGGGGGGCAAGCGUUGUUCGGAAUUACUGGGCGUAAAGGGCGCGUAGGCGGUGCUCUAAGUCGGAUGUGAAGACUCUGGGCUCAACCCAGAGCCUGCAUCCGAAACUGGAGUGCUAGAGUUCUGGAGGGGGUAGCGGAAUUCUUGGUGUAGCGGUGAAAUGCGUAGAUAUACGGAGGAACACCUGCGGCGAAGGCGGGUAGCUGGGCCAACACUGACGCUGAGACGCGAAAGCUAGGGGAGCAAACGGG
rnacentral:rRNA from 1 species